AUUGAACGCUGGCGGCAUGCCUUACACAUGCAAGUCGAACGGCAGCGGGGGAGAAGCUUGCUUUUCCUGCCGGCGAGUGGCGAACGGGUGAGUAAUACAUCGGAACGUGCCCUGUAGUGGGGGAUAACUAGUCGAAAGAUUAGCUAAUACCGCAUACGACCUGAGGGUGAAAGUGGGGGACCGCAAGGCCUCAUGCUAUAGGAGCGGCCGAUGUCUGAUUAGCUAGUUGGUGGGGUAAAGGCCUACCAAGGCGACGAUCAGUAGCUGGUUUGAGAGGACGAUCGGCCACACUGGGACUGAGACACGGCCCAGACUCCUACGGGAGGCAGCAGUGGGGAAUUUUGGACAAUGGGCGAAAGCCUGAUCCAGCAAUGCCGCGUGUGUGAAGAAGGCCUUCGGGUUGUAAAGCACUUUUGUCCGGAAAGAAAUGGCUCUGGUUAAUACCUGGGGUCGAUGACGGUACCGGAAGAAUAAGGACCGGCUAACUACGUGCCAGCCGCCGCGGUAAUAC
rnacentral:rRNA from 1 species